rnacentral:rRNA from 1 species
GAUGAACGCUAGCGGCAGGCUUAAUACAUGCAAGUCGAGGGGCAGCAUAGUGUAGCAAUACAUGGGUGGCGACCGGCAAACGGGUGCGGAACACGUACAGAACCUUCCUUCGAGCGGGGAAUAGCCCAGAGAAAUUUGGAUUAAUACCCCAUAGGAUAGUGGAGUGGCAUCACUCAGCUAUUAAAGAUUUAUCACUUGAAGAUGGCUGUGCGUCUGAUUAGGUAGUUGGUGGGGUAACGGCCCACCAAGCCAGCGAUCAGUAACUGGUGUGAGAGCACGACCAGUCACACGGGCACUGAGACACGGGCCCGACUCCUACGGGAGGCAGCAGUAAGGAUAUUGGUCAAUGGGACGCAAGUCUGAACCAGCCAUGCCGCGUGGAGGAUGAAGGUCCUCUGGGAUUGUAAACUUCUUUUAUCUGGGACGAAAAAGGGCCUUU